CCUACGGGAGGCAGCAGUCGAGAAUUUUUCACAAUGGACGAAAGUCUGAUGGAGCGACGCCGCGUGGAGGAUGAAGGUUCUUGGAUUGUAAACUCCUGUCACUGCAGAACAAGGAUACGCACGUUAAUAGCGAGCGUAUUUGAUGGUAUGCGGAGAGGAAGGGACGGCUAACUCUGUGCCAGCAGCCGCGGUAAU
rnacentral:rRNA from 1 species